GAUGUUAUUCAGAGGUCCUUUCCAACCCUCACCACACUGGGAUUUUGGGUGAUCAGUGACUACUGGGCCUUAGCCUGUUCUAGAUCUUACUGGAGUGCACAGCUUAAAAACCGUGGAGAGUGUCUGCAACAUUUAAAACACUGUUGUCAGGAACCUCUGCUGUGUAAGCAAGAUGCAGCACGUCCCGGAGAUGCCAUCUAGUGGAGUCGGGAAGCCUGUGUGGCUUUGGCUGUGAGAUGUGACAGACAUGCCACUUGCUAUUAAGUGCAACCAGAAGACAUGACGCAUGUCAAAGGAUUUCUUGGUCAUCACUAUCCAUCAGGCAAGUGAACUACA